rnacentral:rRNA from 1 species
AAUCAACGCUGGCGGCGUGCCUAACACACGCAAGUCGCACGAGAAAGGGACUUCGGUCCUGAGUACAGUGGCGCACGGGUGAGUAACACGUGAAUCAUCUACCUUCGAGUGGGGAAUAACUGAGAGAAAUCUUAGCUAAUACCGCAUAAUACCUACGGGUCAAAGCAGCAAUGCGCUUGAAGAGGAGUUCGCGGCAGAUUAGUUAGUUGGCAGGGUAAUGGCCACCAAGACGAUGAUCUGUAUCCGGCCUGAGAGGGCGCACGGACACACUGGAACUGAAACACGGUCCAGACUCCUACGGGAGGCAGCAGUGGGGAAUUUUGCGCAAUGGGGGAAACCCUGACGCAGCAACGCCGCGUGGAGGAUGAAAUCCCUUGGGAUGUAAACUCCUUUCGAUCGGAAGAUAAUGACGGUACCGAGAGAAGAAGCCCCGGCUAACUUCGUGCCAGCCGCCGCGGUAAG